GUGUACCGUCAGAAGAGGUUUUUAUAGUUUGUGUUCAUAUAUCUGGACCUUUUGUAGUUACACAGAUCUGCUUGUAAAGUUUUAAUCCCCUCUAUAUAAACAUUUGGUUGUGGAUAGCUGCAGGACACCAACAUUUUUUCUUUGAAAUGUUGGUGUAAAGUUAUGAACUCAUGAGUGCUUAACCACAUGCCCAAUAACAAUCUGCUGAGCAUUAUUUUAACUUCACGAAAUGCAGCUUUUCCAAACAGAUGUAUGCAUCUUCUGCAACUGGAAUAGUUGUUUCUUAUAAGGUCUAUGUCACAAUUUGAGGAAUGGGC